AAGGAGUCUAACAUCUAUGCGAGUGUUUGGGUGUCAAGCCCGAGCGCGUAAUGAAAGUGAACGGAGGUGGGAACCCCUCGGGGCGCACCAUCGACCGAUCCUGCUGUCUUCGGAUGGAUUUGAGUAAGAGCAUAACUGUUAGGACCCGAAGGAUGGUGAACUAUGCUUGAAUAGGGUGAAGCCAGAGGAAACUCUGGUGGAGGCUCGCAGCGGUACUGACGUGCAAAUCGAUCGUCAAAUUUUGGCAUAGGGGCGAAAGACUAAUCGAACUAUCUAGUAGCUGGUUCCUGC
rnacentral:misc_RNA from 1 species